UGAGAAAAAACGAAAUAAAUUUAUUUUGUAUUGAUUGUCGUAAACCUACUUGCCAGCAUUGUAUUUCUUCUUUGUCGCCGCAUUUUCUUCAUCGAAGUCUUAAGAUUAAAAAAUAUGUUUGUGGAAUCUGGUUCGGAUCGAUGAUAUGCAAAAAUACUUCGACUGCUCUGAAAUUCAAACUUAUCUGUUAUCUGGUGCAAGAGUCAUAUUUUUGAAUCCUCGAUCAGGAUCAAUAAUUAAACGAUACAAGGAUGGUGCUUAUUGUAAAGUGUGUGACAGAAGUUUAACUGAUCAUCCGAAUAAAUAUUGCUGCAUGCGAUGCAAGAUUUCAGAUUGUGAGGAUAUCUCUAAAGAUUUUGAACAAAAAUGCCGACUCUAAUGACGAGGAUUACUUCUGCGCUUCGGAAUCUAUUAUGAUAAUAGAAGCGAGGUCUAAUAAGAUUCUCUAUUUAUU